CCGAUUGUAUUCUCGCACCUGUUCUCGCCGUCGCUAUUCGGAGGCGCGCUGCUUCACGGGAGUGCGCAUUAUACGCGACCUCCCCAUUACGACGAGAGAAGUGAAAUUCAAAAUGGAGAACGGCAGCUUGUUUUCCAUUUUCAUGCCGACAACGCUCGACGGAGCCGCCGCCUCGGGAGAGCGAAAGGGAACUAGACGCGCAUCAGCUUCGAACGACGAAAAGAGACAGCGGUGUGAACGUAGACAUGGCCGACGCGGGCUGCACAGCCGCAGUGGUUACCCCGGCGAUGUGCUACGGGCCGUUCAGUUCCAGCCACCUGUUUACCUGAUGACGCCUCUCCAGAAUGGCCUUCCUCGGUGUGCCCAUUGACGCAUGGUUCCUCCCGGAUCCAUUCCUGCGACAACUUUCCGUCUUCGCCUUUUUCACCUCAUGCGAAGCCACUUCGCCCAUGCUGGAAGCUUUCCAGCGCGCCCUCUCGGGCCAAUUCAAUCACGGGUUGCCUAGAGCCAUAUCCGGAUGAAACCAUCUUUUUGUGCUGGAAACAUGGGCGUGGCUUUGCCUCACCUGGAACUGCCACAGCAGGACAAAAGCGCCAGUCGGCAACGAUCCACUUGGGGCUCGAUACCACAGCAACGAUGCCGAACUUACCACCGCUGUUGCUACAGAUCAUGGGAAAAAACACACACCACCCCCACCACGGUUUGGAGCAGUUUUUCCAGGAUGACAUGUCUUGCCACUGAACGCGUUUUCAGUACAGGAUACCUUUUGACCAAAUUGACGCACAAAAUAAAAUAAGAAC